CGCAUCUGUGCAUGCAGCAUAUCAAUAAGCGGAGGAAAAGAAACUAACAAGGAUUCCCCUAGUAACGGCGAGUGAAGCGGGAAGAGCUCAAAUUUGAAAUCUUAAAGGGUUUCCCUUUACGAAUUGUAGUUUAAAGAAGUGUUUUCUGUUGAGGUUUUGGUAAAAGUUCUUUGGAAUAGGACAUCAUAGAGGGUGAGAAUCCCGUAUUUGACCUUUACUUUCAACUUUGUGAUACACUUUCAAAGAGUCGGAUUGUUUGGGAAUGCAGUCCAAAAUGGGUGGUAAAUUUCAUCUAAAGCUAAAUAUUGGCGAGAGACCGAUAGCGAACAAGUACCGUGAGGGUAAAGAUGAAAAGAACUUUGAAAAGAGAGUUAAACAGUACGUGAAAUUGUCAAAAGGGAAGCGUUUGACACCAGUGCUGUUUUUCUGAAAAUCAAUUAAAGAACUGUUUAUGCUAAGCUUGUUUAGACUUUAUCAGCUAACUGUUUAGUUUUGAGCUUUUCUUUAAUGCACUUUUCAGUUAACAAGUCAACAUCAAUUUCUUUUGCUGUAAAAAAGCUUGAGGAAGGUGGCUUGAGAUUCGUCUUAAGUGUUUAUAGCCUCUUGCCUAUGCAGUCGGAGAGAUUGAGGUCUGCAGCGUAGAUCCUUCGGGGCUAAAUGCAUUUGUGCUAAGUUAUAGCAUUUUAUAGACAACUUGUUGACUAUGAUUUGUCUUGUAGCUUACUCGCUUAUGUUAUUUUACCUACGCUUAGGAUGUUGAGUCAUCACACAUCUCU
rnacentral:rRNA from 1 species